AUCUAGUAUUAGAGGCACUGCCUGCCCAGUGACAUAUGUUUAACGGCCGCGGUAUCCUGACCGUGCAAAGGUAGCAUAAUCAUUUGUUCCUUAAAUAGGGACUUGUAUGAAUGGCCUAACGAGGGUUUAACUGUCUCUUACUCAUAAUCAGUGAAAUUGACCUCUCCGUGAAGAGGCGGAGAUACCAAAAUAAGACGAGAAGACCCUAUGGAGCUUUAAAUCUAUUAACCUUAGCAUCCCAUCAAUACCCUCUUUGGAGAUAUAACACUGAGCUAACAGGUUGUAAAUUUUGGUUGGGGUGACCUCGGAGUAUAAAAUAACCUCCGAAUGAUAUUAAUUAAGACCUCACUGGUCUAAAUUUUAAUUCACUAAUUGACCCAAAUUAUUGAUCAACGGAAUAAGUUACCCUAGGGAUAACAGCGCAAUCCUACUCAAGAGUCCAUAUCGACAGUAGGGUUUACGACCUCGAUGUUGGAUCAGGACAUCCAAAUGGUGUAACCGCUAUUAAUGGUUCGUUUGUUCAACGAUUAAAGUC
rnacentral:rRNA from 1 species